AAGUUCAGACAAAUCUGUGUUCAACCUAAGAAUCAACAAUGAAGUGAUGGUGGUUCAAAUCUACUUUGAGGGCAUAGUAUUUGGAUCCACGUGUCAGACAUUUAUUGAUCAGUUUGCGAAAGACAUGAUUCAAGAGUUUGAGAUGAGCAUGUGUGGAGAGUUGAGACACUUCCUUGGUCUGCAGGUGAAACAGAGUGAUAAUGGAAUCUUUGUCACACAGAGUGCAUACGCCAACAGCCUAAUUGUGAGGUUUGGCAUGGAAGCUAGUCCAGUGGCAGAGACUCCGAUGGGUGUAUCUGCUAAUAUCUCCAAGGAUGAAGAUGGAGAGACUGUUGAUGAAGGUCUCUACAGAGAAAUGAUCGGUUGUCUGAAGUAUCUAACUACUAGUAGGCUAGAUUUAUGCUUAGCUAUUGGGAUAUGUGCAACAUAUCAAGAUACACCAAAGAGAUCUCAUCUGAUGGCUGUGCAAAGAAUCCUUAAGUAUGUAAAGGGAACAGCUAACUUGGGUAUUUACUACUCGAUGGAUACCGACAAGUUUCUGAUGGGAUAUAGUGUUGCUGAUGGAGACAGUUCAUUGAGUAAUCAGAGAAAUACAAGUGGUGGCUAUAUCUUCAUGGGGAAUAACUUGGUCUUAUGGUAUAGCAAGAAGCAAAAUCGGCUAUCCCUAUCAUCACUAAAGGCCAACUAUAGUGCAAUAGCAAGCUGUUAUACUCAACUCAUUAGAGUGAAACAAAUGGCAGCUGACUGGGGUAUUAUCUCUAACUCUCUUUUGAUUUAUUGUGAUUAUGAGAUUGCAGCUAGUAUAGCCAUAAAUCCUGUUAAUCAAUCACAGACUGAACAUGUUGAUAUAAUCCUUAACAUUAUUCGUGAGUUAAUAGAGGAGAAACGGAUUGUAGUUAGACAUGUGAGUAAUGUUUCACAACUUGCUGAUUUGUUCGCCAAGCCUCUGGACUUUAAUUGAUUCGUCGAUCUAAGAAAGACUGUUGGUGUGUGUGAGGUGUAACUUGUUCUGUGAGUUGUGCUGUCCUAAGACAAGGACAUAUGCUGGAACAGGCCAUGUAAAUUCCAAAGGAUGUAUAGAAGAUCAGCUGUCUGAAAAUCAAAGGUGUGUGGAAAAGAGCUGCCUGUCAUGCCAAGUUCUCCCAAUCGUAAAACGUUGUCGUGUUCUGGGAGGUCAAAGAGCUGAGGAGGGGCAUAAGUGUGCAUGCCAUUCAAGAUAGUACCAGAUAUUGAGAAGUCAAGUGAUAUGUCUGGUACAAGCCAUUAAAAGGAGUUCUGAACAAAAAACACCAUAACAAAAUCAAGUGAUGUCUCUGAUGCAAAUCAGAAGAUUCAACAGAAGCCUGAACAAGUCAGAGGCUUGAAGAGCAAUCAUACUUGAAGGUUGAAUCUGAAGCUCCGAGGUGAUGUGUUAAGUCAAAAAAAAAAAAAAAAAUGAGUUAACACACUCCUGAUCGUGCACUCUCCAAAGAAAAUUCUAGCUGCCUGGGCAUGUUGAUUGUUCUGGACUAAAGGCAUGACAGUGUGAAAGACUAGCCACUGAUCCCGAGCUGACUCUUCGAAGAUUUAUAAGGUUGUGGUAGUUUCUGGUUGAAUCCUGAACAAGUGGUUGGCACAGAACGCAGAACAGACUUCAAAGGUAUGAGAACUUUAAAAUUGAACUUAGUUUACAUAUGCUCACAUGUCUGCUAUUUUUCUAGGUCACUCAAUUGCUCAUGUUGAAGUGAUUGUAUGUGAUGUACAAAAUCAUGAAAAGUUCUGUGGAGAUAAUGUGUUGAUCAGCAUGUUGAUUUGUAAACAGGAGUUUGCUGGCAAAUGUGCACUAAUCGUUUUGUUAAGUGUUUCAGGAUUUGCUGAUCUAGGUUUUUAUGUCCAGGCUCAUUUGUUUCAAAAAGCCCAUCUCGUAAUAAAAAGGAUUAGGAGGGAAAACCUAGGGUUUGAGUUGUCAAACCAAAAGACGAGGGAGUCAAAGAGUCUCGAUACUCGCUAUCUUUCUGUUGCCUAUUGAGAAAAACUCUAAGACACGCUAGUGAAGAAAGAUGAGAUCGAUCUUGAGUGGAAUCCAAAAAUUUGUGCAAUCGACUCCACAAUCAGACUCAGUAUCGGAGAGCAGUCAGCAGCCGAAGUCGUCAUCACCGGUGAUGAAUAAAUCGGAGUCUGGGUUGAAUGAUAAAUUGCAGAGUCCACAACGGACUCAAUUCGGCGACUCCAAGAUGGUGAGGAACGAAUCAGUGACGGCAUCUGACGUCCAAUCGCGAAGCCCUCAAAGGACUGAAAUCGGAGAUCCAGAGAAGGCGAUAAUGGUUAUUCGUGAACACCAAACAGAGGGAAAAGCUUCAGUGGAACAGGUGGCUUCACCCAUCCCUCCGGUGAUAGUCGAACUGACAGACGACGGAGACUCAUCUGUGGCACCUCAGUGUUCGUAACCGAAGAAGACCAGUGUUGUUCAGUUACCCAGAUCUCUGAUGCAUCGAAACCUGUGCAAGCUGGUGGAAUUAGAGCUCCAUCUGUGUCGUCUCGACUAAGGAAAUGCAAGGGUGUUCUUGAACAAUGCUCAGAGAGGAAGACAAAGUAGAAGACUGCAAAAGGAAAUGAGCCAGCUAACUCAGGUCAGGACUUUGACCAUGUGCGAUUCAAUUCUGCUGAUGCACAGAAGAGGUAUGAACAUUUCUCCAAACGAAAUUUCAUAGAGGAACUCAUUAUAUCGUUUGGUGAGGUCGAUGCAAUAUAGAUCUGAUUGUUAAUGCUGGUCUACUAAGAACUGUGACUGAGAUUCAGGAUGCACCGUCUGAGGUCUUAUGGGAAUUUUGGUCAAACUUGCCCUCUGUUAAGGUUGAGUCUGCAACUGUUGAUGUGCUGGUACGCGACUGGGUGUAUGAGUUCUCACCAGCUAGAAUCAAUGCGCUGUUUGGUCUACCACCUGUGGAUGAGAGAGAGCAACAGAAACAGAUGGUUGGUGUUAUUGAUGAAGAUCUCGCGAUGUUCAUGUCAGGAGGGAAGAUCAAGUUGUAUCAAAAUGUUCAUCUAGGCGAUGUUGAGAGCUCCAUCAAUAAAGAUCUCCUGAAGAUUUGUUGCACCAAUUGGGCUCCAAUAACCAAUGAAAGCUAUCUCGCAGCUAGUAGAGCACGUGUAGUCUACAUGAUUGCAAAGAAGGUUCCUUUCAAUUUUGGGAGACUGGUGUUUGAGCAUGUGCUUCAGCUAGCUCGUACCCAUGCUGCUAAAUUUCAUCUUCCGUUUCCAAGCCUGAUCUAUAAGCUACUACAGGCACAACAUCCUGUGAAAGCUGACUGCGAGUUGAAGAACUUCAAGAAAGGCAAGAGUGUGAAGAAGAACUCCGGAUCAGCAACUCCAUUCUCGAUUCCACCAGAGGCCCUGGGCAAUCGUAAAGUCAUGAAGCUGGCCAUCCUGAUUCUGCAGGCUGCUUUGGAUGCAGGGGGAGAUAUGUCUGAUUCAGAUGAUCAUGGGGGAGUCUGAGUUAUAGGGGAGCAUGGGAGCAUGUCGUGAUGCUGACUUAGCUUUUCAUAGUUUUCUUUUAGCUUCUUUUGCUUCCUGUUCGAACUUUGUGUUAACCACAAGUUGGUUUUGUUACAGAACCUUGUUUUAUGCCUGAUGGGGCUUUUUGGGUCUGUAAUAAUUGAACACAGCAUUUUACUCUAACAUCUAUGUUAGGAUAUUUUCUGGAUAUUGGUGUAGUCUUGCUGUGUUGGUGUAUCUCUCUGUUUUUGACUUUCAGGUUAUGUGCAAAAGGUUGCUUGAGUAUCAAACUAAGUCAAAAAGGGGGAGAUUGAAGAUGCAGAUUCUGGAUCAGCACGUUGUGCAGAGAACAGCUCGCUGUCUGGAUCAGGAAGCUGCAUCAGAUCACAUCAGCCUGAGGUACUGACAUGGAAGCAGGAGCUGACAUGGCAGGAAAGGAGUGGAUGUGAACACAUCAGGCAUCAUGUUACUGACAUGGAAGCAGGAGCUGACGUGGCAGAACAGGAGAGGAUGGUGUGACAAGUCUGCUGACUUGGCACAGGAGGUUGGGCGUGGAGAUAUGGAGAAUAUCCUUCUCGACAACUAAGGAAGGGAAGAACUUGACGAGCAAGCUAUUCCCAUAACAGAAGAUCUAGGCGUUGAGAUAUGGAAGAUAUCCUCCACGACAGAUAAGGACGGGAAAGACUUGGCGAGCAAGAGAUUCCCAGAACCGUGAUACUCGGAGAUUCGCCUGCUAGGGUUUCUCGGGUCUUUGUAUAAGUAGUCUAGAGUUAGCCACGAAAUAGGUUAGCACUCUAGAAUAUCUUUAUACGUGUGAAAACUUCGAAGCCGCAAAAAGAGCUUAGAAGGGUGAGUGGGGUUCUCUCUGAUCUUAACGGUAGGGUUACAGAGAGAAUUAGCUUAGAGAUUUAUUCUUGUCGGGGUCAACUGUAUUCGGGUAGAAUAGGUUGAGUAAUAGCCGGGAUAAAUUUGGUCUUGUUGUAAAGAAACUUGUAUCCAAAGAAUAAAUAGAAAAGCGUUUGCUUGGCGCGUUCCAAGCGUAAUCAGCGUACUGUGUACCUUUAUACCAUUUACAAUUUUCUACUUUAUUAUUUGUUGGAAUCAUUGUCUUAUGAUUGUAUUUUCUUUUUGAAUAUCAUAGAUAAUUCGCUAAUAAGUGCCAAUAACAAAAGAUUGAUCGAAUAGUUUUGGUUUUUUUUAUGUGCUAUUUUUUGACAUAUCUAUUAAUUUUUUGUUUCCUACAGAUUUCAUUGGUUCGGCUUUCAAUUGUAAGAACAAGAUGAUGUGUCCCAGCUGUAGGAAAGUUGAAAAAGGUGAAUGGAAGUAUGCAGCACAUCCAGACCAUCCAAUUUUCAAUCUGGAACAUGUGCUUAAUGAUCACUUACCUAUCAGCUGGGUAAACAAAUAUUCUACACCUUAGUUUUGUCCAAAUGUCUGAUAUAAUAUUAGGUUUGGAAUUGAUUUUAUUCGACCAUUUUUAGGAGAAUGGACCAAUCCUGGCCUUACCAGCUUCUCAGCGUGGAGAGGCAGACAUGUACAUGUGUUGCCAGAUGAUGAGACUCAUAAUAUCCAAAACAUAUCAAACCAUCCAGCUCUGCCAACUCCAUUGGAGCCGAGGAAUGACUUUUGGGUGCAUGACCAUGCCUCGGAAGCGAGGCUAGAUCCUGAGUUUGUUGAAGAGUUUUCCCGACGCCGUCUAAAUGACUUGGUAAAUGGUAAUGGUGGCAGAAGUGUUGGAACUAGCAAUGGUCGUGGAACUAGUAAUGAUGGUGGAGCUAGCAAUGAUGCUGCAGCUAGCAAUGGUCGUGAAAGUCAUGACCGUGUAACAAGUUGGGACUGGUGAAGCGGCGACAACAAGGGAACCCUAGCAACUUUAAAUGGUAGUGACAAAAGCAGAA